GACGAACGCUGGCGGCGUGCCUAAUACGUGCAAGUAGAACGCACAGUUUAUACCGUAGCUUGCUACACCAUAGACUGUGAGUUGCGAACGGGUGAGUAACGCGUAGGUAACCUGCCUGGUAGCGGGGGAUAACUAUUGGAAACGAUAGCUAAUACCGCAUAAUAUUAAUUAUUGCAUGAUAAUUAAUUGAAAGGUGCAAUUGCACCACUACCAGAUGGACCUGCGUUGUAUUAGCUAGUAGGUGAGGUAACGGCUCACCUAGGCGACGAUACAUAGCCGACCUGAGAGGGUGAUCGGCCACACUGGGACUGAGACACGGCCCAGACUCCUACGGGAGGCAGCAGUAGGGAAUCUUCGGCAAUGGACGAAAGUCUGACCGAGCAACGCCGCGUGAGUGAAGAAGGGUUUCGGAUCGUAAAGCUCUGUUGUAAGAGAAGAACGGGUGUGAGAGUGGAAAGUUCACACUGUGACGGUAUCUUACCAGAAAGGGACGGCUAACUACGUG
rnacentral:rRNA from 1 species